rnacentral:rRNA from 1 species
CCUACGGGAGACAGCAGUGAGGAAUAUUGGUCAAUGGGCGAGAGCCUGAACCAGCAAAGCCGCGUGAGGGAGUACUGCCCUAUGGGUUGUAAACCUCUUUUGUCGGGGAGCAAAAGCCGGACGUGUCCGGCUGUGAGAGUACCCGCAGAAACAGCAUCGGCUAACUCCGUGCAAGCAGCCGCGGUAAUUCGGAGGAUGCGAGCGUUAUCCGGUUUUAUUGGGUGUAAAGGGUGCGCAGGCGGAUUUUUAAGUCAGCGGUAAAAUCGUGGGGCUCAACCCCAUCCAGCCGUUGAAACUGGGGAUCUAGAGUGUGCGAGAGGUAUGCGGAAUGCGUGGGGUAGCGGUGAAAUGCAUAGAUAUCACGCGGAACCCCGGUGGCGAAGGCAGCAUGCCGGUGCACAACUGACGCUCAGGCACGAAAGCGUGGGUAUCGAACAGGAUUAGAUACCCCUGUAGUC